ensembl:lincRNA
CCUCUCUUUCUUCUUUUCUCUCUUCUCUUUCUUCUUCUUUCUUUCUUUCUUUCUUUCUUUCUUUCUUUCUUUCUUUCUUUCUUUCUUUCUUUCUUUCUUUCUUUCUUUCUUUCUUUCUUUUCUUUCUUUCUUUCUUUCCUGGCCAUGAUAUCAAUCCUUCUUGGUCACUAACUGAUUGUGACAACACCUUGUACAGUUGUUGGUGUCAUUAAAUCAGCUGGUGUAUAAGAGUAUUUUGUAAAAACUGUAAAGGAGGAUGUGGCUGUAGGGGCUGAUAGUUCUCAUGAGUAUUACUGCUCUUCUCUCCCACAGUUAAAAAAUAUUGGCAGAGAAACAGCCCUGGAGUUCCAGCUGGAGCAAAGAGGAACAGGAAAACAAAUGGCAGUGGCCCUGAGAUAGCCACUGCUGAUGGUUGCCACUCACCUGGAGAUUCAGCAACAGGUAUCCACGGGGAGGGCCCUACAUCAUCUGCUUCCCUGAAGGAUCUGGAGGUAAGUGGCUCUGGGUGGAGGUGCAGUGACCCUGCAGGCCAGCCCUCCAGCCUCCUCCCACAGUGGGGACUGGGUGCCCCUCUGGCAGUUGAGACAGCCCACACACACUCUAAUCCUAAUGAUUGUUCUCUCUACCUCUCCCCCGACUCCUCCUCCACCUCCUUCUCACUGCAUGUGCCUCAGAGCCUGUGCCAAGAGCUAGCAGUAGUCCUGGACUCAAGGUCCGUAAAAAUCAGUCAACUGAAUAACAUCAUCAAAUCUCUGAUUACAGAUUCAGACUUUGAGUUCUGUGGCUGUGGUUGAAAACCAACAAAGACCCAAAUCAUCUGUCCUUGGGAGCUUGAGGAGAGUUUACCAGGUAGUGUUCCCUUUGGGUCUGAGAACUUUGCUUUAAAAUCCAUCCCUGGCCCUGCCUACCACUUCCUGGUCUGGGGAAUAGAGUUGAGGGGGCCACCCUCUAUCAUCUUAAUUUGACUCUCCCCACAGAAAGAACAGAAGAAACAAGUGCAACAUCAGCUGGAAGUAGUAACGUGAUUUCUUUGUUUGCUCGCGAUGUGACUGCUGGGUUUGGGGGGGGCACUCAGAUGUAGAGGCCCAAGUCUCAUCUCACCCACUCCCAGCCUGGGGAAGAAGGCUCACCCCUCAGAUUCCACCCCAUCCCUACAGGGUCCCUGAUAACCUGGUCCCAUGGGUGGGCCUGUCCUUUGGCAUUGGUGGCAUUCUGGGGGCCUGUCUCUUGCUGUGCCAUCUCUGCAUCCCCCUGGUAAGAGCUCUGUCUUCCUCUUCCUAUAGGAAAAGAAAGCAAACAAUGAGAAACAAAGCCGAAAGGGAGCUAGAGGUGAGUGGAGGCUGUGCAGUUCCCUCCUGUCCUCCGGAGAAUGUUUCUUUCCUUCUCUUUCAGCAUUUGCUUUUCUCCCAAAGGUUCAAAUCCAGAGAUUGAACACACAGAAAGGGAAACUAAAUACAGACCUAUAUCACAUGAAACGUUCUCUCAGAUACUUUGAAUGUAGGAAUCUGGGCACCUUGUCAUCCUUCAACCUGGCACUUUGACAUGUCUUUAGGGGGAGUUCUUUGGGCCCCGUCUCAACUCUCUCAUUACAGAUGAGUCCAAGGAUCUGGCCGGCCGCCUGCAACAUUCAUUGCAGCGUAUAGCAGAGUUAGAGUGGGCUCUCUCUGCUGUCACUGCCACACAAGAGAAGAAGGAGAUCAGUGUGAGUUCAGCCACUUGUCCUGUCCCCUGGCAGCUUGGCUUCCUAGAUGGAGGAGUGAGCCUAAAGCUCCAUUCUACAGGAUGGAGUGUCCUGCCCAGAACACAGCAUGGCCUUUUCCCUCUGCUUUUGUGUGUGGUUGUUAGAGCAGCCUGGGGCUGAGUCAGCUGCUGUGGGUGAGUUGGGGCCCACUGUGGGGAGCGAGCACUGGACGCAGAGCUUGGAGG